ACUAUGGAGUGUACUUGAACUUGUGAGUAGAUAUGAUUUCKGUCAAUCCAAAGCGUGCACGGUGACAUAGUAA
rnacentral:sRNA from 12 species